GCUUACGGCCACACCACCUGAGUGCAUCCAAUCUUGUCUGGUCUCAGAAGCUAAGCAGGGUUGGGCCUGGUUAGUACUUGGAUGGGAGAAAGAUCUUCAGAGGAGCCUGCUCAGAGACAAGCA
rnacentral:rRNA from 1 species